rnacentral:rRNA from 1 species
CGAACGGGUGAGUAACGCGUGAAUAACCUGACUCAAAGAGGGGGAGUAACAACGGGAAACUGUUGCUAAUACCGCAUGAGACCACAACACCGCAUGAUGAAGGGGUCAAAGAUUUAUCGCUUUGGGAGGGGUUCGCGUCCCAUUAGGUAGUUGGAGGGGUAACGGCCCACCAAGCCAACGAUGGGUAGCCGAGCUGAGAGGCUGAUCGGCCACACUGGAACUGAGACACGGUCCAG